CCUACGGGAGGCAGCAGUGAGGAAUAUUGGUCAAUGGACGGAAGGCUGAACCAGCCAGGCCGCGUGCAGGAUGACGGCUCUAUGAGUUGUAAACUGCUUUUGUACGAGGGUAAACACCGAUACGUGUAUCGGGUUGAAAGUAUCGUACGAAUAAGGAUCGGCUAACUCCGUGCCAGCAGCCGCGGUAAUACGGAGGAUCCGGGCGUUAUCCGGAUUUAUUGGGUUUAAAGGGUGCGUAGGCGGUUUGAUUAGUUAGAGGUGAAAUGUCGGGGCGCAACCCCGGAAGUGCCUCUGAUACUGUUGGACGUGAGAAUACUUGCGGUAGGCGGAAUGUAUGGUGUAGCGGUGAAAUGCUUAGAGA
rnacentral:rRNA from 1 species